CAGAACUCAACUACACACACCAGUUUAUAACAGCCUUACCCCAAGCCAGAUAUACCCUUGGGGAAAUGAAGACUUGGAGGCUUCGGUCACCCCUACAGGACCUCACUCUUCAGGCCUGGGCUUGACAGAUCUGAUCCUGGGCACCAUGCACUCGUUCUUUUGUGCUUUCCUGCUUUAACUUGGUAAAUAAUUCUUUCCCGGAACA